ACACUCCUACGGGAGGCAGCAGUGGGGAAUAUUGGACAAUGGGCGCAAGCCUGAUCCAGCCAUGCCGCGUGAGUGAUGAAGGCCCUAGGGUUGUAAAGCUCUUUCACCGGUGAAGAUAAUGACGGUAACCGGAGAAGAAGCCCCGGCUAACUUCGUGCCAGCAGCCGCGGUAAUACGAAGGGGGCUAGCGUUGUUCGGAUUUACUGGGCGUAAAGCGCACGUAGGCGGACUAUUAAGUCAGGGGUGAAAUCCCGGGGCUCAACCCCGGAACUGCCUUUGAUACUGGUAGUCUUGAGUUCGAGAGAGGUGAGUGGAAUUCCGAGUGUAGAGGUGAAAUUCGUAGAUAUUCGGAGGAACACCAGUGGCGAAGGCGGCUCACUGGCUCGAUACUGACGCUGAGGUGCGAAAGCGUGGGGGGCAAACAGGAUUAGAAACCCCGGUAGUCCCA
rnacentral:rRNA from 1 species